UUUAUUCUCAGUUUGUUGCUC
rnacentral:miRNA from 1 species